UAAAUGUUCAACAUAUUAGAAAAGUCCUUCAAGUACAAAAGGGGGAACCUUGCCAUCCUUUUAAAGUAUUUGAAUUUAGGAAAACUUUUCCUUUAGAGGCAGAUUGUAGUAUUAGCCAGUUAAAGUCUAAUAUUUGAGAACUAGGCUGAGGAUCUGAUGGACUGGCUAACAAUGUCCUGCCUUUGCACAGUAACAGGGAUUUUUACAAGUUCACAAAUAUUCAUUCUGAAGGAGAACAGAUUUUCUGUCAUUUCAACCAAUUUUGCUUUGAGAUUUUGAGGAUGACACAAUAGAUUACACUGUAUAAGCCCAGUGCUGGUUUGUUAACUGAAGUUUGCACUUUACAUUGUGCAAGCAUGCUGUAAAGACACAGGCACACUGUAUAACCAAACUUUUGAAUGCAAAAGAGAAUCAAAGGCAAAAGUUUGUGAUACAGCAUGUGCUUCAGAAGAGUUUACUAAGGGCUCUGUCCCCAUGAAUAAGCAGGCUGUCAGGCAUGUGGGGAGGAGUGACAAAAACUGCCCAGCAUUCCUUUUGCAAGGACCACAAGCCUUGGUGAAUAAAGAAAAGCACUCUGAAAAGCCAUGUGGUGCUGUAGCAGGAUAAAGCAGUAACCAAAAAGUUUUUGGAAUGGAAUCAAACCAGUAGGGAGUCCUAGGCUGGAGAAGGCUGUGGCUCACUGGUGGGUGGGCCAUGGCAAUUGCCAAAUAAAGAUUCUUCUACAAUUCACACUGUGAGUGAAACACAGAUACACCUGGCAGCUGUGGGGGAAGUGAGGACAACACUGCAUUUUUCUGCAGCCCAGCAGCAGGGAAAGAGAAGCUGCUAGGAGUUGUCAGUGUCCAUCACAGCAGAUGGAUAGCUGUAUUGGCUAAGCAGCAGAUGCAGGAUGCUGGAGAAUAAACACCCAUUUCCAAGUAACAAUUGGCAACUGUCCCUCAGCUCCUGCACACGUCAGGGCAUGCUGUUACACGAAGACCUGCAGUGCAGUUCUCAGGGAUUUUUUUGAAAGUGGCAUAUGAAAGUGUAGGGUGGAUGACUCCCAGCAGAUCAUUGCACCGUGUCCUGCAUAUUGCCUGCUUACAAAGUAACAGACUCUCACAAGUCUGAGCGCAGUGCCUUGACACCUGGCUUGUUUCAGAGGCCGUGUUUUUCUCCUGGUGAAAAAGCCAAGUUUUGUGUGGCUGAGUCUACCUUGUUGCUGUUCAGGUUACAAGUGUAUAGCUUAUGUAGGCAUGGCAUUCAGGUAACAAAAAUUAUAUGGUAGAAAAGCAGGAAUGAGACUGAGCAAACAAGGUGACAGAGCACAAUGGCAGUGAUAUCAGCAAGUCCUAAAGAUCCCAAAGGUAAACAAAGAGACAACUAAGAACAUUCUUAAAGUUACUUUAUAGAAUAAUAAUAGCUCAAAAAAUGUCCUUUCCUCUCUUUUGGAGUAGUUUAAUUUAGAACAUAGAACCAUAAUAGUGAGAGUUAAUUCUGAUUUUGUAUAAAGAAAUUUACCUUCCUUGGGGAACCCCACACAAUAUGAUGUUGCACUGAACAAAAACCAUCAGCUGCAUUUCAAAAUAACAAGAAAGCAAAAUGAGAAGGAAUGAAGAGAAAAAUAUGAAUAAAAUAAUUACCCAGUCUAGUUAUAUCUGGAGCAUAAAGAUCUUAGUACCAGAACAUGUAUAAACUUUUACUGACAAGACUCUAGAUUCUCCACAUAAACAAAAUUGUGCUUUAAAUCUAGGAGGUAAAAGUUCUGUGCAGAGUAAUUCGGUAAAGAUUGGUGGAGGGUCAGUGUAAAUAUGAAAAGCAUCCCUUGGACUGUGAAUCCUCUUAUAUAAGGAUCAAAUAAUAUACAUGCAUAUAACUAAAAAUCCAGCAAAAGCAAAAAAGCCAAAACUUGCAUUGCACUGCACUCUUCUGGCCCUCCACAGUGGAACAGAAAAGAGGAAUGCAGUCAUUAACUUAGUCAUUUUUGGAAGCCAUUGAGAUAAUGUGGGGAUAGUCAUAGUACAGAAGAGGGAACAGAAUGGAAUAGUCAAAGUGGUCCAAUUCUGAACUUAUCAACAAAAUUAUAUAUGAAAAUAUAUAUACAUGAACACACAAAUAUAUAAAUUUAACAAAAGAGAGGCAGGAACUGUUGAACAGUCUAUAAAAGUCAUGCUGCAUUAACAGUUGCAGUAAUUUUUAGGCCGUCUUUUGACCUUUUCCAGCAUUACUCAGAUGGAACCAAAACUGCAGCAUUCCUUUUUUGACAUUCUUUUUUACAUGGAUCAUCACUGUAUUAAAUUAAGUGUAAUGGAUAUCAAGGUAUGAAAAAUUAAUAAAUACAGUGGUACAGAGUUUUCCCUAGCGCUGGCACCUUCAUACCAAGACACAGCUGAGAAAAGUGUGCUUCAGUGCCCUUGUCCUUGUGCAUGUGACAACACAAGCACAGCAUUUUGUGGUGGGUUAGAGCUGCCCUAAACUGCACCGGAGGCCCCUGCCCAGUGAUGCUCCAUCCACAGCACAUGUGAGUGAGAACUGACAAACCCUUAACUUGAAUAUCAGGAAGAUGUUUACUGUCCAAGCUUCCCCCAUAGUAUCAGCUACUUUUUUCCAUCUGUCUGAGAAAUUACAGCAUUCCAGAGCAUUGUAUGAUGAUACAUAAAGGGUAAAGCUUGAAAAAAAGGGAUCUUCUCUGUUUUUCCAUUUGAAACUCUGGUUUCAAGAACAAGUGUUAACAUGCAUUCAUGGCCAAAUGGCUUCUUCCCCUUUAUGCUUCAUCUUUUUCCUGGCCCUGGACCCCAUGGGGCAUCCAGGAAGAGCUGUCAGCUGCCAGUCUGUGGAGAAGAGCCAUCUGACACUUUGCUGGUUUCAGCUACGCUGUCCUGACGAAUCUGCUGUUGCCCUUGGGUCUAUCAGAUGGUUUCACUCAUGCUCUUUGAGUUGCUUGUGCUCCCAAAAGAGUCUGGGUUUUACUGGUCAAGUACAUUACUCUGUGAACCACUCUUGGUGUAUUUGUCAUUGCCAGUUAGUACCCAGGGAGAGAUGUUUCUCCUUUCCCUCCUAGACUCAUGCUGUUUUCUGGCAUCUUCUGUUCACUAUCUCAAGAGCCUAUACCUGACAGAAAUAGCCCAGUGCUGUCAACAAAUGCCAGACAGAACCAGCAAAGAAUUCAGCUCCUUGAGUUAGUUUCCCAAUAGAAAAUGAUGGCAUCUUUGGCUGUACAAGCUGCUAAAGCUCAGGGUGAGGUGUUCAGGACAAAGUAGCACAGGAACAGCCAGCUUCUGCUCCUCAGCACCAGGAAGCUUAUUCAUCAGCAGCAUCUUUUUCCUUCUGUGAACAAGAUGUGGUUUAGGUCAAUCCAAAGAAAUACAUCAGGCUUAGGAAGUCUGAAAAAUAUCAUGUGUGCUAUGACCAAUGAUCUCCUUAAUAUCAUUUCACUUAAUACCAGUUGAUCUAUUUAGUGUUUUAUUUUAUGCGGCAUUGCCACUUACAGUGUUAGCAGAAGAAACAGUAAAGUCAUUUCAUAACACUUGGUCUCAUUUGUUGUCUGGAACUGUAAAUAAUGAUCUGCUUUAUAAUACAAAACUGUGUGGAGCCCAUCAUUGCAUCUGCAAAAUCUUAUGGUAAGCACAGGGAAAGUCUAUCAAAGAUAAAAAAGACUAAUUCCAGUCCCCAUGUUGGGUGGAUCUGGGAUAGCUCUCCUCAUUGAAAUUACUGUGUCAUAGACUUUAGGCAGUUAUCCUGGUAACUCAAAAGCUGAGGCAAGUCAUUUGGUAUGAUUUACAGCUGCAAAUGGCAUGUGCCCUAUCCCAGAGAAUAUGCUUCAGUAGCCACUGAGUUGUAUUUAUUCAUCCACAGAACUCUGUGUAGGGGUCUGCUUUAUCAUAUCAGCCCACAGUAUCAUCUGCCAUAUCCUUUUGAGCUACUCCUUCCAAAAGAAUGGUUUUUCAUUUAUCUAGGAAAUGUAAACUAAUUUGCACAAAUUCAACAGUUAUUCAUCCAUGUCUCCUUGACACUGCAGACCCGAGGGAAGAUCUUUUCUGACUCCUGUCCAAGCAGUAGUGUUGUGCACCACAUUAGUUGUGAUGAGGUAAUGUUUUAAUCCUGCCCAAGGAAUUCUCUCCCCCCUGCCGGACUGUAGGUUUUGCUAGAGGAGCUGUAGGUUUUGCAAAUGUCCAGUGAUCAAAUUACCUGAUCAAAUUACCAUACUUAACUAAUCAGACAGACUGUAUGAAGAGUAAUGCGCAAACACCCGUGGUUGUAAGAGCCAUGUAUCUGAGACAUUGCUUUUUAAGCUCCAUCUUAAAAUUUACUUGAAGUUAACCGAAAUGACUAGGCCCAUUUCAGUUGGCCUAGUCACAGUAAUAAAGGUAUUCUCUGUGUGAGAAUAUCUUUGCAGAUUAAGGCACAGUUUUUACAGACAUUAACCACAAAACCUUCCAAAUGUUAGCUCCAAAUAGCUGCAUUGCACUAUGAGAAAUUAUAGCUACGACACCUGAAAGAACCAGGGUAUCUAG